UUUCAAUGUAGCUGUGGGUUUCUAUGUCCAAUAUUUGAUCGUCCAUCUUAUUUAAUUUUUUUAUAAUUAGUAUUUUGUUUGUUAUUAGAUGAUAAAACAUAAAUAAUACUUUAUGCGUGACUUAUUUUUUUAAAUUUUCUAAUAUAUCAUAGAUGGUUAAACAAUAGAUACGGAAACCCACAACUACACUUAAA
rfam:Oryza nivara chromosome 4, whole genome shotgun sequence.